AACGAACGCUGGCGGCAGGCUUAACACAUGCAAGUCGAACGAGGUCUUCGGACCUAGUGGCGGACGGGUGAGUAACACGUGGGAACGUGCCCUUUGGUACGGAAUAACUCAGGGAAACUUGAGCUAAUACCGUAUGUGCCCUUCGGGGGAAAGAUUUAUCGCCAUUGGAGCGGCCCGCGUCUGAUUAGCUAGUUGGUGAGGUAAUGGCUCACCAAGGCGACGAUCAGUAGCUGGUCUGAGAGGAUGACCAGCCACAUUGGGACGGAGACACGGCCCAAACUCCGACGGGAGGCGGCAGUGGGGAAUUUUGCGCAAUGGGCGAAAGCCUGACGCAGCCAUGCCGCGUGGAUGAUGAAGGUCUUAGGAUUGUAAAAUCCUUUCACCGGUGAAGAUAAUGACUGUAGCCGGAGAAGAAGCCCCGGCUAACUUCGUGCCAGCAGCCGCAGUAAUAC
rnacentral:rRNA from 1 species